AAAUAACUACCCUUCUCCCUCGACACUGAGACUCAGCCUCAGUUUUCUCAUCUGCCAGUUGGAUGAUAGUCUCUGUUCCACCCGACCGUGGUGGCGGUGGAGUAGUCAGUUGUGUGUGACUCCUUUGGGACCCAUGGACUGUAGCCUGCCAGGCUCCUUGCUCAUGGAUUUUCCAGGCAGGAAUACUGUAGUGGGUUGCCAUUUCCUUCUCCAGGGGACCCAGGGCUCGAACCUGCAUCUCCUGCAUUGCAGGUGGUCUCCUGAAGGAGUGAACUGGCAGGUGAAUUCUUUACCACUGAGCCACCAAGGAAGCCCAAUCACUGGGCAGUUACAAAUCAUGCAUGAGGGAAAAGUGAAGAGAUAACUUGGCGAAGGAGGAAGUGCUUCAUCCAUGGGCAUGUAGUGUCUGUUUGGACGAUUAUGAAUCACCUAAAGUUACUGUCUUUGGGAUCCUUUGGAAAGAAGGGUGCCCCACAAUUUUUCAGGCAUCCAAGUCCCUUUUCCUGUCUUCAUUAUUUGGAUCACUCUCAUGGAAGUUAAAUUUCCCAGAACGGUCUGGGCUGUUGCCAUCUCUUUCUUCUGAGUUUACUGGUAUGGGUAGCCGUUUCCAGCGUGAAGCCUUCCAGCAAGCAGGCUCAGCCACUCCAGACACCACGCCCCGCAGCCGGGGCUGGGGAUGAAGGUUUGAGGCAGAACCUCACAUUUGCUUAUGCAGUGCUUUGAAUUUUCCGAAAUGUCUGCUUUCACAGAUGUUAUCCCGUGGACGCAUCCCUGGAUGGGGCCGGAUUUGCUGAGCCUCACAAAGCCUGUGGGGUUGGUUCUUCUGCCUCCAGAGUGGACGGAGCAGCGCUUAUGAAACGUGAGGCCCACCUGUUUCUCAUCAAAGUGCCUGCAAGUCCCUCUCCUGGAGAAAGCGGGGAGCUGCAGAGACAGGAAGAAAACUUGGGGGACAGGAAGAGAGGCGCUGCUCUGAUGGAAUCUGUCAUCCUCUGACUUGGAAGGAAACCUGUCAUCUCCCGGCUUGGGGCGGGGGCAAAGAGUAAGGGGCGAUCUGGGAGGUGGGGCUUCCAUUGGCCAGCUCCCCACUGUGAACAGCCCAUGGGGUGUGGAGCCCCCAGCCAGCUCCAUGGGGCAUGUGGUGGAGUUUUUUUAAAGACAGAAUUGCUGACCCCGCUAGGACCACGGACAUGGCCACUGGGUCCUGUUGGUCAUCGCAGAAAUAAGACUAACGCCACCAUCAGGGACAAAUUCUGAAGGCAAUUAUUCCCGUUCUCUGAAGACCAGUGGCCCCAAGGCUCUGAGGAGCAGACUCGUCAACCAGAAGAGAGUCCCCAUGUGACUUGCGGAUGCACGAGGCGAGAUCCUGGACCUGACUCACCGUAUCAUGUUAGCAUAGAAUGAGAGUGGGAAUAAUAGAAGUUAAUGCAACCCAUCACCUGAUAUGGUGCCAUGCACACUCCUGUGUGUGUGUGUGUGUGUGUGUGUGUUUGCUCAUGCACAUGCAUGCCUGUGUAUGCAUGCAUGG